UUCUUCAGCAGGUCGGUGUGGACCCGCUGGGUCUAAUGGCCUGCUUCCACGCUAUAAUAAAUUUAGGACUUCACUUACAUCACGAUAUGUUGAGGUUGUGUAAUGCACUGUAGAAAUGUAAAACACUUCCUUUUAACCAUCAAUGAAGGAUAAAAUAAGUAAUUGGAGCAGGAAAGCCAUUCAACUCAGCAAGCUGUCAUUCCUUUAGUUCAUGGCCGAUCAGAUUGUGGACUGAAAUCCACUUUCCAGCCUGGCCCUCAUAACCCUUGAUGUCCUUGUCAAUCAAAAACCUAACCCAGCCUGCAUUGCUCAAAGGGAAGAGAAUUCCAAACACAAAAAGCCCUCGAGAGGAGGAAUUCCUAAUCAUCUCCAAAUUACGUAAAACCAAGGUGCCCCAUUUUUAAAAUGUGUUCCCUCACUUUAGAGUCGAUUGAGUGAAGACCUAAAUUGCUCAAUGUCAUACAUCAACAAUCAAUCUAUUGAACCUUCGCAAAACUUCUUCCAACAAAGUAUAUCUUCUUCAGUAACAAGACAGAAACUGUACGUAUUCCAGCUGCAGUUUCACUAAUACUCUGAGCAGCUGUAGCAAGACUUCCUGAUGCUUUUACAUUUCAUCUCUCUUGCAAUAAAGAGUGAAGAAAGAAAACAUUGGGAAUGCAAUGGACUCGAGUCACCCAAGACAGCACUUUGGACUUUUUGAUGAAUAUGGCAUAAAACCAGCAAUUCCUAAGCCCAGGAGGCAACGAAAGAAAACACCAUCCCUAUUUCUAAGGAAUGCCGGACGUAGCAAGAGGGACGACCCAGAAACUGAUGCCUUUGAUUAUUUUUGAAUAGUGAUUCAUAUCAAAUAGUUAAUUUUAUAUUUAUUUAAUAAAACAUGAAAUUUGAAAGUUCUGUAACCAUAUUAUAUGAAACUAAAAUAAGACUUUUAGGAGGGCAUGUUAUUCUGCAUUUUACUUGUUAGCUAGAGACACAUUUUCUAAUUUAGUUUUUUCAUUGUCCCCCCAUUUUCCCCGUUCUUGAGGAAUCCCGUUUCCAUGUGAGUUCAAUUGCAAACACCACUUAGAUCUCACCUAAUAUAUGCUGUACGAGUGUGCAAAGAAACAAAAUUUCUGAUAGGACAUUUGACCAUGGAGUGCAUUACAACCAUAAAUCAACCUGUUUUCACACACCAUUUCAGGCAUUCAUCAUUGGAUAAUAAUUGGGAACAGGAAGCCAACCUAUUGUCCCUUCCCUUGCAUUGUUCCAGAGACUGCUUUGUUGUUCCUCGAGAGUUUUGAAACUGAGGCUGGACUGUUAUCUACAUUCUGCAGAUAUAUUCAUUGCUUAUACAAAGGCCAAUUGUGACAGCUAACCCGAGGUUUAAAACCCAUAACUUGUACUUUAAAGAUGGGGAUGAAAUCAGAUUACAUGUUUUAUUCCCAACAUUUUCACGUAAAUUGUUAAACUGCACUGUCAAUAUACCCUUCCCUAAAUGAAGAUUUUUGCAACAUCAAAUUCCAGUCAAGAUAACAUUUUAAAUAUUUUUGAUUUCUCCACUUAGAGAAUGGAUUGCUAAAUGCCUUCAGGCAUAACAUUAGCCAUGCCACUUUCAUGUUAACUGAAGCAAAAAAGAAGCACUAUUGCGAGAUGAAUUUAAUGGUCACAUGCCAGAGCAGUGGGUAACAAUCUUUACAAACCCUAGCAGAUUGUGAUCUACCUACCGAGGUGCAGCAGGUGAGUCUGCAGACAUGCUAGCCUUCAGAAAACAAAGUGUUUGUUUCAACGACAAUCCAUCAACAUAGGAUGGCACAGAUUUGUCUCAAAUAACUUAAUAGUGCAUCAAGCUGCUAAUAUGCAAGUUUCCUGUGUCACAACACCUCACCUCGAGAACUAACUUAUUAAAUCCUGAACAUGUGCAUGAUUAGAACCUACUGAAUUUGUGGUAGAAGCCACAAAAGGGUCAAUUCUACCUAAUGCCUCCUAUCAUCCUUAAACCUGAUAUGUGGCGUUAAACAGAGCAGCUAAUAUUUUAACUGCAUGAUGUGGUAA